CCUACGGGUGGCUGCAGUGGGGAAUAUUGGGCAAUGGGCGCAAGCCUGACCCAGCAACGCCGCGUGAAGGAAGAAGGCUUUCGGGUUGUAAACUUCUUUUCUCAGGGACGAAGAAAGUGACGGUACCUGCGGAAUAAGCCACGGCUAACUACGUGCCAGCAGCCGCGGUAAUAAGUAGGUGGCAAGCGUUAUCCGGAUUUAUUGGGUGUAAAGGUCGUGUAGGCGGGAGCGCAAGUCAGAUGUGCAAACUCAGGGGUCAACCCUGAGCCUGAAUUGGAAACUGUGUUUCUUGAGUGCUGGAGAGGCAAUCGGAAUUCCGUGUGUAGCGGUUGAAUGCGUAGAUAUAUGGAAGAACAACAGUGGCGAAGGCGGCCGCCUGGCCUGUUGACUGACGCUGAGGCACGAAAGCGUGGGGAGCAAAUAGGAUUAGAUACCCCUGUAGUC
rnacentral:rRNA from 1 species